rnacentral:rRNA from 1 species
AUUGAACGCUGGCGGCAGGCCUAACACAUGCAAGUCGAACGGUAACAGGAAACAGCUUGCUGUUUCGCUGACGAGUGGCGGACGGGUGAGUAAUGUCUGGGAAACUGCCUGAUGGAGGGGGAUAACUACUGGAAACGGUAGCUAAUACCGCAUAACGUCGCAAGACCAAAGAGGGGGACCCUCGGGCCUCUUGCCAUCGGAUGUGCCCAGAUGGGAUUAGCUUGUUGGUGGGGUAACGGCUCACCAAGGCGACGAUCCCUAGCUGGUCUGAGAGGAUGACCAGCCACACUGGAACUGAGACACGGUCCAGACUCCUACGGGAGGCAGCAGUGGGGAAUAUUGCACAAUGGGCGCAAGCCUGAUGCAGCCAUGCCGCGUGUAUGAAGAAGGCCUUCGGGUUGUAAAGUACUUUCAGCGGGGAGGGAGGGAGUAAAGUUAAUACCUUUGCUCAUUGACGUUACCCGCAGAAGAAGCACCGGCUAACUCCGUG